rnacentral:rRNA from 1 species
GCUGGCGGCGUGCUAAUACAUGCAAGUAGAACGCUGAAGGAGGAGCUUGCUCUUCUGGAAGAGUUGCGAACGGGUGAGUAACGCGUAGGUAACCUGCCUGGUAGCGGGGGAUAACUAUUGGAAACGAUAGCUAAUACCGCAUAAGAUUGAAUAUCGCAUGAUAAUUGAUUAAAAGAUGCAAAUGCAUCACUACCAGAUGGACCUGCGUUGUAUUAGCUAGUAGGUGAGGUAACGGCUCACCUAGGCGACGAUACAUAGCCGACCUGAGAGGGUGAUCGGCCACACUGGGACUGAGACACGGCCCAGACUCCUACGGGAGGCAGCAGUAGGGAAUCUUCGGCAAUGGGGGCAACCCUGACCGAGCAACGCCGCGUGAGUGAAGAAGGUUUUCGGAUCGUAAAGCUCUGUUGUAAGAGAAGAACGAGUGUGAGAGUGGAAAGUUCACACUGUGACGGUAUCUUACCAGAAAGGGACGGCUAACUACGUGCCAGCAGCCGCGGUAAUACGUAGGUCCCGAGCGUUGUCCGGAUUUAUUGGGCGUAAAGCGAGCGCAGGCGGUUAGAUAAGUCUGAAGUUAAGGGCUGUGGCUUAACCAUAGUACGCUUUGGAAACUGUUUAACUUGAGUGCAGAAGGGGAGAGUGGAAUUCCAUGUGUAGCGGUGAAAUGCGUAGAUAUAUGGAGGAACACCGGUGGCGAAAGCGGCUCUCUGGUCUGUAACUGACGCUGAGGCUCGAAAGCGUGGGGAGCGAACAGGAUUAGAUACCCUGGUAGUCCACGCCGUAAACGAUGAGUGCUAGGUGUUAGGCCCUUUCCGGGGCUUAGUGCCGUAGCUAACGCAUUAAGCACUCCG